AACAUCGCGCACCUGCGGGAACCUGCGGAGGGAUCAUUAAUGAUUGGUGGCUGUUGCUGACUAGUGUUUCUAGUAUGUGCACGCCACACCUUCAAUCCCACUUAUACCUGUGCACCUUCUGUAAUAGAUCUAUGUGGAUACGGAGAUAUGAAAGUUUGCGCUCUCGUACUCUGUUGAAGCAGUCUACUACGUUUUUUUACACACACACAAUAGUCAUUGAAUGUAUUUUUUAUUCUUAUG
rnacentral:misc_RNA from 1 species